UACGAAGGUCCCAAGCGUUAUCCGGAUUUAUUGGGUUUAAAGCGUGCGUAGGUGGUUCGUUAAGUCUGUCGUGAAAGCCCCGGGCUCAACCUGGGAAUGGCGAUGGAUACUGGCGGGCUAGAGUGCGGUAGAGGAGAGUGGAAUUCCCGGUGUAGCAGUGAAAUGCGUAGAGAUCGGGAGGAACAUCAGUUGCGAAGGCGGCUCUCUGGACCAGCACUGACACUGAGGCACGAAAGCGUGGGGAGCAAACAGG
rnacentral:rRNA from 1 species